AUGCUGGACGUAUCAGAAGUGCGAAUGCUGACAUGAGUAACGAUAAUGCGGGUGAAAAACCCGCACGCCGGAAGACCAAGGGUUCCUAUCCCAUGUUAAUCAGGGUAGGGUAAGUCGACCCCUAAGGCGAGGCCGAAAGGCGUAGUCGAUGGGAAACGGAUUAAUAUUUCCGUACUUGGUAUAAUUGCGAUGGGGGGACGGAGAAGGCUAAGCAAGCAUGGCGAUGGUUGUCCAUGUGAAAGUGAGUAGGGCGUUUGUUUAGGUAAAUCCGGACGAACA
rnacentral:ncRNA from 1 species